rnacentral:rRNA from 1 species
UAGGGAAUCUUCGGCAAUGGACGAAAGUCUGACCGAGCAACGCCGCGUGAGUGAAGAAGGUUUUCGGAUCGUAAAACUCUGUUGUUAGAGAAGAACAAGGACGUUAGUAACUGAACGUCCCCUGACGGUAUCUAACCAGAAAGCCACGGCUAACUACGUGCCAGCAGCCGCGGUAAUACGUAGGUGGCAAGCGUUGUCCGGAUUUAUUGGGCGUAAAGCGAGCGCAGGCGGUUUCUUACGUCUGAUGUGAAAGCCCCCGGCUCCACCGGGUGGCGUCAUUUGAAACUGGGGGCCUUGAGUGCAGACGAGGAGAGUGGCAUUCCAUGUGUAGCGGUGAAAUGCGUAGAUAUAUGGAGGAACACCAGUGGCGAAGGCGGCUCUCUGGUCUGUAACUGAAGCUGAGGCUCGAAGGCGUGGGGAGCAAACAGG